AAUCACUUUUGGGACAGUAAAAGGCAAUCUUCUCUUCAACCUCAAAAGUUAUAAGAGUUACGAUUUUUCCAACACACUCCCUUCCCUCUGACCCAGUUACGCUGCUUUCGUGCGCUCAGCAGCUAGCCUAGCCUACCGGAAAUCCUCUCGCUUCGCUCGUUCCCGAGUCGAAUGUGCUGUUGUAUGACUUAUGUGUGUGUGUGGUACCGAUUCGCCUGUGCACUUAAAACGACACAGGGGAAGUUGGGCUUGGUCAAGUGUGCAGAUUUCGUUUCUUGACACACCCAGGACUGCCUAUUAUAGUCGGCUGGGGAUACUUAAGCCGAACACUUUCUAGGCUUGUGGAUCAACUACUGCACAGCCAAGAUGCCCGUCUUCCACACGAAGACGAUAGAGAGUAUCUUGGAACCUGUCGCUCAACAGGUCUCCCGACUGGUUAUCCUUCAUGAAGAGGCAGAAGAUGGAAACGCCAUGCCGGACCUUGCCCACCCGGUGCAAGUGGUCAAGCUGGCUGUGGAUAACUUGGUCAAGGUAUGCUGUACCCCCCAAUUUUUUUUUUUUCAAAAAAGAAAACAUGAAAAUAUAUGGGGGAAAAAAAAAAA